rnacentral:rRNA from 1 species
UACAGAGGUCUCAAGCGUUGUUCGGAUUCAUUGGGCGUAAAGGGUGCGUAGGCGGCGCGGUAAGUCGGGUGUGAAAAUCGUCGGAGCUUAACUCCGAAACUGCAUUCGAUACUGCCGUGCUUGAGGACUGGAGAGGAGACGUGGAAUUUACGGUGUAGCGGUGAAAUGCGUAGAUAUCGUAAGGAAGACCAGUGGCGAAGGCGGGUCUCGUGGA